rnacentral:rRNA from 1 species
UACGUAGGGUGCAAGCGUUGUCCGGAAUUAUUGGGCGUAAAGAGCUCGUAGGCGGUCUGUCGCGUCGGCUGUGAAAAUCCCGAGGCUCAACCUCGGGUCUGCAGUCGAUACGGGCAAACUAGAGUAUUGCAGGGGAGACUGGAAUUCCUGGUGUAGCGGUGAAAUGCGCAGAUAUCAGGAGGAACACCGGUGGCGAAGGCGGGGUCUCUGGGCAAUAACUGACACUGAGGAGCGAAAGCGUGGGGAGCGAACAGG